rnacentral:rRNA from 1 species
CCUACGGGUGGCAGCAGUGGGGGAUAUUGCACAAUGGGGGAAACCCUGAUGCAGCGACGCCGCGUGGGUGAAGGAGCGCCUCGGCGCGUAAAGCCCUAUCAGCAGGGAAGAAAAUGACGGUAACUGAAGGAGAAGCCCCGGCUAAAUACGGGCCAGCAGCCGCGGGAAUACGUAGGGGGCAAGCGUUAUCCGGAUUUACUGGGGGUAAAGGGGGCGCAGGCGGCGAUGCAAGCCAGGAGUGAAAGCCCGGGGCCCAACCCCGGGACUGCUCUUGGAACUGUGUGGCUGGAGUGCAGGAGGGGCAGGCGGAAUUCCUGGUGUAGCGGUGAAAUGCGUAGAUAGCAGGAGGAACACCGGCGGCGAAGGCGGCCUGCUGGACUGCAACUGACGUUGAGGCCCGAAAGCGUGGGGAGCAAACAGGAUUAGAUACCCGAGUAGUC